rnacentral:lncRNA from 1 species
GGUGUUGCAAAACACGGCCCUUCAGCGUCUCGGGGACGAAGCUUUUUUAAGGCUGUGUGGGUCAACUCAAAAUGACCCAAAGGUGGCUAUUUAUGCAAAGUCAGCCUUCCGGCGUCCCUUUUGGGAACAUUUGGCUAUUUAUGACAAAGCAGAAUCACCUGGCUUAUUUAUGACUCCUAAAAUUUGACAUAUUUGUUUUUGCUAUUUUUUUUUGUAAAAAGGGGGAAGUUACAUCACUAGACUUAUUUACGACAAAAUUAAAAAUCUUUGACACAUUUUUUUUAUUUUUUAUUUUAUAUUUGUUUUUGGCUUUUUUAGCAAAAGGUGGGGUUGGACCCGAUAAGGGUUGCCUACGUAUCUCACAUCCGGUGAGAAUCAAACCCGCGUAGUUCGGGCAAAUAAACUAUUUUUGAGAAGACCCAUUUCCAUUUUCUGUUUUUUUUUAUUAUUUUCACAACAAUCAAAUAGACUAUUAUUCUAUUAUCUUUCAUUUAUAACAAACAAACGAAUCAACGAAAAACAUAAAACAUUCCUUCUUUUUGAGAAGGUGGGGUUGGACCCGAUGAGGGUUGCCUACGUAUCUCACAUCCGGUGAGAAUCAAACCCGCGUAGUUCGGGCAAAUAAACUAUUAUUGAGAAGACCCUUUUCCAUUUCUAUAUAAUUAUUAUUCUUUUUUUUCACAACAAUCAAAUAGACUAUUAUUUUUCACUCAUAACAAACAAACAAAUUAACGAAAAACAUAAAACAUCCCUUCUUUUUU